ACGCUGGCGGCAGGCCUAACACAUGCAAGUCGAGCGGUAGAGAGAAGCUUGCUUCUCUUGAGAGCGGCGGACGGGUGAGUAAUGCCUAGGAAUCUGCCUGGUAGUGGGGGAUAACGUUCGGAAACGGACGCUAAUACCGCAUACGUCCUACGGGAGAAAGCAGGGGACCUUCGGGCCUUGCGCUAUCAGAUGAGCCUAGGUCGGAUUAGCUAGUUGGUGGGGUAAUGGCUCACCAAGGCGACGAUCCGUAACUGGUCUGAGAGGAUGAUCAGUCACACUGGAACUGAGACACGGUCCAGACUCCUACGGGAGGCAGCAGUGGGGAAUAUUGGACAAUGGGCGAAAGCCUGAUCCAGCCAUGCCGCGUGUGUGAAGAAGGUCUUCGGAUUGUAAAGCACUUUAAGUUGGGAGGAAGGGCAGUUGCCUAAUACGUAGCUGUUUUGACGUUACCGACAGAAUAAGCACCGGCUAACUCUGUGCCAGCAGCCGCGGUAAUACAGAGGGUGCAAGCGUUAAUCGGAAUUACUGGGCGUAAAGCGCGCGUAGGUGGUUUGUUAAGUUGGAUGUGAAAUCCCCGGGCUCAACCUGGGAACUGCAUUCAAACUGACUGACUAGAGUAUGGUAGAGGGUGGUGGAAUUUCCUGUGUAGCGGUGAAAUGCGU
rnacentral:rRNA from 1 species